rnacentral:rRNA from 1 species
AACGAACGCUGGCGGCAUGCCUAACACAUGCCAGUCGAACGAGACCUUCGGGUCUAGUGGCGCACGGGUGCGUAACGCGUGGGAACCUGCCCUUAGGUUCGGAAUAACUCCCCGAAAGGGGUGCUAAUACCGGAUAAUGUCUUCGGACCAAAGAUUUAUCGCCUUUGGAUGGGCCCGCGUUGGAUUAGCUAGUUGGUAGGGUAAAAGCCUACCAAGGCGACGAUCCAUAGCUGGUCUGAGAGGAUGAUCAGCCACACUGGGACUGAGACACGGCCCAGACUCCUACGGGAGGCAGCAGUGGGGAAUAUUGGACAAUGGGCGAAAGCCUGAUCCAGCAAUGCCGCGUGAGUGAUGAAGGCCUUAGGGUUGUAAAGCUCUUUUACCCGGGAUGAUAAUGACAGGACCGGGAGAAUAAGCACCGGCUAACUCCGU